AUCAUUUCUCUCCCUGUAUCUGGCGAUGGGGGCAAUAGUUGAGCUUGUAAAUAAUUACAGCUCUUCUGUUUCCAGCCUCAGAGCUGAGCUGUGUUUGCUGUAACCUUAGGUUUACCAGGCAGCUGGAACUGUUGACUGAUAAUUGCUGCGAGUUUCUGAUCCUCCAGAAGAGUGAAGAGCCUCCUCCAUCCUCCACCGAUUGUUGGUGCAGUUGCCUUUGCUGGAGUUACUGAAAUUGGUGUUAUGGACACCACACGGAGGGCUGGAGGCUCAGGUGCUGGGAAUUCACGUUGCCUGUGUAAUCACAUCGGGUUACAACCUGGUCUGCUGUCUGUCCUUUUUCAUGGAGUGUUGUUUAAAGCGGAAUCGCAAUCUCUCAUGAAAACAGGCUGUGGGGCUGAGUGAUACUGGAACAAAUGGAAGUGACUGGAAAAAUUGCUCUUGCUCUCCCAGCCAGGCCCAGCUGCCAUUUUGAUUUCUCUCCACCCUGAUGGCUGGCUCUGGACCUUUCCUGCCAUACGCUACUGCAGAGUCAUUAGUUAUGUAUGACACCUAAUGAAGCCCCAAACCAUGGCGUUCUCCAGGAUGCCUGGACCCCCGGUGAUUCUGGCCAAGCAGCAGCACUCCUUGAACCCUUCCCAGCCCCAGCUGCAGCACAGAUCGGGCUGGAAGCUGCAUCUGUGCCUGUUGGCGAGGUCCCAGCGCGGGGCAGCCGCAGCACGGCCGCACUGAGAGCACCACCGCCAAUCCCCACUGGUGGGAACCCCCCGGAGAUGUAGGGAAUGGAGGGGGCAGCAGGAGGGAGCCCUGGACACCAAAGGGGAUUGAAACAAGCAUUGCCCAUAGCAGCCCUGAGAGCUGAGAUCAGUGGCAGGGCUUGACUUUAGGCUCUACUGCCUUAGGCUGGCUCAGCACGCUCGCCGACGAGCUAAACCCUCAUGUAAUCACGUUACUAUUGCUCCCACUGCUUUUAAGAGAGCUUGUACAGAGCUCUUUUACUUCUGCAGUUUGCACAUCCAUAAAAGCUAUCCAGAAUACGGUGAGGUGAGGAAGAAACGUCAUGAAUUUUCAUCAUAUUGGUAUUUCUGACACAAUUUACAUCGUGGCUGCGUCCCUGCUGAGGAGGAGCAAUAAAUACCCUCUGCAAAGCUCAUAUUGCGAUGGAUGGGAGAGGAAACAGUGACCCAAAGGGUGUCACAUUCUGGAAACCCGACCUGGAAAGAAGGAUCCACAAUUAACAAGAUGGGUGAACAAAGAUAAGACUACCCUUAAAAGCUAUUGUGGCAGUGAAGAACAAAGACGGGUGUACACAGUGGAUGGAAGAUAACAAUCCAUAUUGUGCACGUAGGGAGGAA